rnacentral:rRNA from 1 species
AGUUGUAAUUUGGAGAGGGCAACUUUGGGGCCGUUCCUUGUCUAUGUUCCUUGGAACAGGACGUCAUAGAGGGUGAGAAUCCCGUGUGGCGAGGAGUGCGGUUCUUUGUAAAGUGCCUUCGAAGAGUCGAGUUGUUUGGGAAUGCAGCUCUAAGUGGGUGGUAAAUUCCAUCUAAAGCUAAAUAUUGGCGAGAGACCGAUAGCGAACAAGUACAGUGAUGGAAAGAUGAAAAGAACUUUGAAAAGAGAGUGAAAAAGUACGUGAAAUUGUUGAAAGGGAAGGGCAUUUGAUCAGACAUGGUGUUUUGUGCCCUCUGCUCCUUGUGGGUAGGGGAAUCUCGCAUUUCACUGGGCCAGCAUCAGUUUUGGUGGCAGGAUAAAUCCAUAGGAAUGUAGCUUGCCUCGGUAAGUAUUAUAGCCUGUGGGAAUACUGCCAGCUGGGACUGAGGACUGCGACGUAAGUCAAGGAUGCUGGCAUAAUGG